UUCUGAUAUGGCAUAAUUUUUGUUCUUGAUAUGGCAAGAUGCCUUUGACUUACUAUGCUCUUAUUCAUUAUGGAUUUGAAGAUUAGGAAUGUUAAGGUCCCAAUUUUAAUCUUUGUCUUUGACUUACUAUGCUCCUAUUCAUCUGUCAUUAUUUUUCACUCAAAUCAGUUUACAGGUGCUUGUUUUGCCAGUUCUGUGGGACACUGGUUGAUUAUCUUUAGCCAUCCAUUUGAUGGGCCACCAUUUGUAAGGAUAGGAGCCCCAUUAGUAUUAAGCAUUAAGGUAUUCUACAUCAUUAGAACCCCAGUUAGUAUGAUUUGGAUGUUUGUAUGUGCAUGCCAUGUGUGGUAGAUGCAGAUAGUGGUGAAACCAAAGCUUAGUUAAAUUGUUCCCUACAAUAGACAUGUCACUGACAGUUACAAUUACAUUCUUUGGGGAUAUCCUGCUUUAUGGAAGUGAGAUUCUUCAAAUGUCUGUAAGAUAGCAUUCUCUUAUAAUCAUAAUAAAGAAGAGCACAUCUUUGAUAAACAUAAUAAAGAAGAGCACAUCUUCAAAAAUAUUCAUCCCUGUUUGGGGCAUGGGAAGUUAUUUCAUACUUUGGUAGAGUUUGAUGCAUGAUGCACAGGCACUUAGAGAUAAAGAUCUGUAGAUGCGACGUGCAUUAUCUCAUUAUGCCAUUCAAAUUUUGGGGUCCACUGUAGAUACAGGUUAUAAUUUGAAAAUCAGAUUGGUUCAACAAUCUUAACCUUGAUUUGUGGAAACUUAUUUGUUGAACAAUUGGAUUUUUUUAUUUUUAUUUUUCAAUUUUAACCAUCUGAUACUUGUCCACCAAUUGGCUAGUUUGGUAAUCAAUUCAAGGUAAUUUUUGGAUUAUGAUGCAUCUAAGUUGGUGCUGACAGAUUAAUUUGAGUUACUUGUAUGUCACAUAUAUCAACCAUCACAUCUUACCAAAGUUGUUAUGCCUGAAAGCUACAUCUGCAGAAAUACUUUACAGUUAAAUAUAUCCCUUGAAUUUGUGGAUUAUGUGAUUAUGACAAUAUAUCUCAUGAUUUACAAGAUAAGCCUAUAUUUUCCUCAUAAAAUGAGCUUAUGGUCUAAUUUGACAAAUUGUCUUUUACUAUUUUUUCUGUGUAAUUUUGUGUUCAUGCUACUUCUAUCAGCAACAUGAAUAUAGAACGGAUCCUUAUCUAUUUGUCUUAACAAUAGUGAGAUUGAGGAAAGUGAACUCUCUGAUGCAAGCUCAACAAAUUUGAAAGAAGAUGGAUCUUCACCAUCCCUAACUCUAAUCAGAAAGCAGGGAUGGUAUUCAGAUAAACUUUCAUAUCUAAAAGGAAAAGUGCCUUCCUAGAUAGGAAUUCCAACAUCAGUUGCCCUACCCUUUGGAGUUUUUGAGAAGGUUUUGUUAGAUGAUUCAAACCAGGUUUGUCUCAUCUCAUCUCAUGUCACUUAAGCGUAUCCAACAUCAAUCGAAUGCUAAUUCUAACAUAUUGACCUUUGAAACCUUUCCAAAAUUAUCAGAAAUGACAUAGGUGAUUAUCAAGCAAAUGCUAGAUGUGUAUGCCUAGAUGAGGGCUUCACUUGGUGAGGCAUGCAUUUCAUUCUCAUGUUUUGAUUUUUGAAGAUUUUUUUCUUUUUAUUGUUUGAAUUAUGUAAAAGAAAGAUGAUUGAUGUGGUAUGUUUUUGUUGUAUUUUUUUUAAUGAGAUUUUAUGGAUUUUUUUUUUUUUUAAAUUGUUUCUUUGAGUGUGGCGUUUCAGGUGAAGAGAAGGAUAAAUUUGGUUUAUGGGGGAGGGAGUGUGGGAUUAAUGGGUUUGAUCUCCCAAGCUGUUUAUGAUGGAGGCUGCCAUGUUCUUGGGUAAGAAAUCAGGCCCUCAAAAAUAGAAUUUAUUUAUUAUUAUUAUUUUUUAAAGUUCUGUUCAUGAAAGCUUUUGGUAUACCAGCUAUGGAUUUCUGGGAUUAGUGUCUUUUUAGUAUCUUUCUUUUAAUGUGACUGGCAAGGUACCAUGGAUAUAGGUUAUGACAACAUUAUUUAGUUAUUUAUUUUUGUAAAUUGAUGAUUUCAUUAAACCUCAAAAAGUGUCAUGACAAAAAUUUUCGCACAAUGGAAUGCUCUGUUAAGCCCCAUCUUUUAUUUAUUUGUUUGUUUUUUCUUUUUAGUUUUUUGAGAGAUGGUUAAACCUAUAAUUGUGCUGUGUGACAUUUUCCUUCUCUUCAUAAAGUGAGCACCAUGGUUUAGUACAACUCUAACAUGAUAUGCAAAAUGGUUGUUUUGAACUACAGUUCUCUGUCAGAGUUUGGUGUCCUUGGAUUCGAGUUGGGUUAUUCAAUGGAAAAUCCAAAUUCUUGGUUGUGUGGGAAGCAGUUGAUGCAUGUCUUGUCGUCAUCUGAUAGGGAAGAAGACAACUGAACUUGAAAUAUGCAAUGGAUAGAAUCGUAACACUGGAAAUAUAAAAGCUACCACGUGUAGCAUGUCAUCAGGUUUAGAGAUGAAGCUUGAUGAGCUGCGGAAAGAGCUCUCUUCAAGUCAUGAAGGAAUAUUGCCACAUACCAUUCUUUCCACCCAAUAGAUCAGCACGUUAAGCGCCGAAAAACCAACUUCCAUGGAGCAGCUAAGGAGUAGCCUGGUUCUGACUAUCAUAGGAGUAGUUUUCAAAGGCCUAAUGGUGGGUGAUCCACUCUUCUCAUUGCAUACAAGUGGGGCAAUCCAGAGUUCAAAUCACUUCAGCCUUUUGACGCCACUCGUGCUAGGAGUAGACCAUAUAGAGGAUUUGUUUUUAUUUAUUUAUUUAUAUUCAAGACCAUUUAUUGCAAUAAAUUUGUUUAAUAUUCAGUUUUAUUUGUAUUGCAUCAUUUUUAUGUUUUAAAUAUUUAAAAAAUACAGGUUUUGAUUGAA